GGUAGGAUUACCCGCUGAACUUAAGCAUAUC
rnacentral:rRNA from 1 species